GAUGAACGCUGGCGGCGUGCCUAACACAUGCAAGUCGAACGGAGUCCAGCCUUAGAGCCCUUCGGGUCAAAGAGGGGAAGACUGAGUGGCGGACGGGUGAGUAACACGUGGGCAACCUGGCUCAUAGAGGGGGAUAACAGAGAGAAAUUUCUGCUAAUACCGCAUAAGCACACACUGCCGCAUGGCAGAGUGUGAAAAGAGAAUCGCUAUGAGAUGGACCCGCGUCUGAUUAGCCAGUUGGCAGGGUAAGAGCCUACCAAAGCGACGAUCAGUAGCCGAUUUGAGAGGAUGAACGGCCACAUUGGGACUGAGACACGGCCCAAACUCCUACGGGAGGCAGCAGUGGGGGAUAUUGCACAAUGGGGGGAACCCUGAUGCAGCGACGCCGCGUGAGUGAAGAAGUAUUUCGGGAUGUAAAGCUCUAUCAGCAGGGAAGAUAAUGACAGUACCUGAAGAAGAAGCCCCGGCUAACUACGUG
rnacentral:rRNA from 1 species